rnacentral:rRNA from 1 species
GCUCAGGACGAACGCUGGCGGCGUGCCUAAUACAUGCAAGUCGAGCGCGGGAAGCAAGCAGAUCUCCUUCGGGAGUGACGCUUGUGGAACGAGCGGCGGACGGGUGAGUAACACGUGGGCAACCUACCUGUAAGACUGGGAUAACUCCGGGAAACCGGGGCUAAUACCGGAUGAUACAUAUCGUCGCAUGACGAGAUGUUGAAAGGCGGCAUAUGCUGUCACUUACAGAUGGGCCCGCGGCGCAUUAGCUAGUUGGUGAGAUAAAAGCUCACCAAGGCGACGAUGCGUAGCCGACCUGAGAGGGUGAUCGGCCACACUGGGACUGAGACACGGCCCAGACUCCUACGGGAGGCAGCAGUAGGGAAUCUUCCGCAAUGGACGAAAGUCUGACGGAGCAACGCCGCGUGAGUGAUGAAGGUUUUCGGAUCGUAAAACUCUGUUGUUAGGGAAGAACAAGUGCCAUUCGAAUAGGUUGGCACCUUGACGGUACCUAACCAGAAAGCCCCGGCUAACUACGUGCCAGCAGCCGCGGUAAUACGUAGGGGGCAAGCGUUGUCCGGAAUUAUUGGGCGUAAAGCGCGCGCAGGCGGUCCUUUAAGUCUGAUGUGAAAGCCCACGGCUUAACCGUGGAGGGCCAUUGGAAACUGGGGGACUUGAGUACAGAAGAGGAGAGUGGAAUUCCACGUGUAGCGGUGAAAUGCGUAGAGAUGUGGAGGAACACCAGUGGCGAAGGCGACUCUCUGGUCUGUAACUGACGCUGAGGUGCGAAAGCGUGGGUAGCGAACAGGAUUAGAUACCCUGGUAGUCCACGCCGUAAACGAUGAGUGCUAGGUGUUAGGGGGUUUCCGCCCCCUUAGUGCUGAAGUUAACGCAUUAAGCACUCCGCC